CAGUAACAUUUUUAAAAAAUACCGGAAAAAUACCAAAGCCUGACAUGAUAAGGCGGCUAGUUGGCAACUCUAACUUCAAGCAGCUGUUGAAAAAGAAGAAAGGGGAAUAAUUACAUAAAAAAAACACACUGACCGGCAUUUAAGACUACUUCCCGAACCUUCGGUAGAAAAUUUUCCCUCGGAGAGCCAUUGGGAUUCGGGAACUCAUCAAUAAGAGUAUGAGUGGUUACCAAUAUCUGGACGUCAAGCUGUAGAAAACUCCGUGAUCCUGAAUCAGUAACUUUAAAUCAGGUAUUUCUAUACGGCUGUAUUCACAACUCUCUGGAGAGUGUCUUUGGCGAAAUUG